UUAGAAAAGCAAUAUUAUAUGAUACGUUACUAAUAAUUUUAAAUAUAUAUAUUGAGCUUUUUAUUAUUUUAUACAAAAAAACAAUGAAACUAGUAAAAAUCUAUAUAAAAAAUAUUAAUUAAAAAGAUGAAUAUAUAACAAAUAUGUACCUUUUAUUUUUUAUUAUAUGUUAAAUAAUGAUCAAAACCAAAGUUCUAGUUUGCCAAAAAAAAAAAAAACCAAAGUUCUUAUUUCAUUGACCGAGGUCAAAAUUUGUUGAACGACUUGUUUUAUACGAUUACACUUUUUAUUCAGUUCUGUCCCAUAUUGCUC
rnacentral:lncRNA from 1 species